GUUUGCAGCUUACUCACCGGGCUUAUUACGCGCAGAAACUCCUCCGGUAAUUUUCGGCUCCUGUUUUUUAAAUAUCUUCCCCCCUCACGGCCACUGAGAACGGGCUCAACGUCAGUGGGGACCCACGGUCGGUGGCUGCUGACAAAAUGUGUCGCGGAUUUCCGAGGAGAAGCCAUGAGGACAAGAAGAAGCAGGAGCCGGACUGUCGCUCAAAAAGCCUCUCUCCGUGUGUGGUGGACUGGAUCCGGCAGAGCGACCCGGGUCUACCGCAGUGUCCGGAUGGAAAAGCUCCGGAUUUUACGCACGGAAAUGCACCGCGCCAAAUGGAAACAAGUGGAGUAAAUAAUAACAACAUGGGUUUAGAAUCUGCGGCCAUGGCUGAAAUAGGAAGUGGAUGCACAUGAAUACAACAGUAGAAGGAAUACAAGCACUUAUCUAUAGGAAUAAUGUUGCAGUG